AAGGUUCAGAGGGAGGUAAACCAAGCACUUUCUCAGACGAAGAGAUAUGAUCCAAGAGGAAAGAAGCCGCUGCCAAUUCACAGAAUAACAAAAGUCCAGAAUAACCAGGUACAAUAACAAUGGAAAACCCAUCGGUUUAAGAAUCACUGAGCGUAAACAAAUUCCGAUAACCAUGGCCAUCAUCCCAAAGAGGCCAAGCGAAACCCU